GAGGACCAGUGAUUCAAAACGCCAGUAGAUGUGGAAGAGAACAAUAAAAGGAAAGAGAUUGGAGUCUUUGCUCCACCCAUAUCCGUAGAUGAUGAUGGGUUUGGUGAUACUGCAGGCGUGGAAGUUGGUGCAGUUGAGUAUGUGAGCGCCAGUAAUUUUAUUGAUGCAGCAGAUGCGACUGAGGUUGAGAUGGAGAUUGAUCAGAUUAAAUCCACUGGGAAGAGCAAGAAGCACAAGGAUUCUAGGUCAAUGAAGCCUUUCAAAAUUGCCCUUGUGGAUUUUGUGAAGGAAGUCCUACGGCCAUCAUGGCGAGGAAUAUGAGCAAAGAGGCAUAUAAGACCAUCUUGAAGAAAACUGUUGACAAAGUAACUGGAACUAUGAAGAGCCACCACAUUCCGAAAUCUCGAGCAGAGAUAAAUCACUACAUUGAUUCUUCACAACGCAAGCUGACAAAACUUGUGAUGCGAUAUGUUGAUAAGUAUGUCGACGUGUAGAUAUGAAACCGAUGGAUUUCAAGGCCAUAUGUAUCUAUCAUACCAGAGGUUUGGCUGAGCUGUGGACAAUUUGGAUGUUGAAGUGAUAUUGAGCAGAUAUUUCAACCCACCAACCGUUUGCUCUAGUCUAUGGAUGGGAGUAAAAAUUGAUUUUGAGGUUAGGGAAAGAAAGCACCCCAUUACUGCAGAGCCCGCUUACAUAUUACCCGAUUCGGCUCAGACUUUUUUGGUGGAUUCAUGUAAAAAAGAUUCACUUGAUCCUGAAAGUAGCACAACCUCCUCUGGAAGUUUUAGCUCCCAAAGUCGGAUUCAUCUUUGUGAAGGUGUGUUAUCAAGGUUAUGUGAUGAGAGACUGACGGUCUUGUUCCUUGUUGUGAGCAUAUGUUUCAUAUAAUGUCACCCGACAAUGCAUGUUUCUUUGGUCAAGAUGUGCUCCAUUAGUACCAUAUAGCAAGAUGGACAGAAAAUUUAAUUUGAAUAGCUAAUGUAAUCGUCAUAGUAUCUCCCAUAAACAUCUUGUUUUCCAAAGCCGUAUGUAGAUCUUAUUCAUCUGAGAGAC